GCAUAGACAACCAGGAUGUUGGCUUAGAAGCAGCCAUCAUUUAAAGAAAGCGUAACAGCUCACUGGUCUAGUUAAGCCGUCCCGCGCCGAAGAUGUACCGGGGCUCAAGCCAUACACCGAAGCUGCGGGUGUGCCAUUCCUACGGGAGUGUCACGCAGUAGCGGAGCGUUCCGUAAGCCUGCGAAGGGGUUCUCGUGAGAGGCCCUGGAGGUAUCGGAAGUGAGAAUGCUGACAUGAGUAGCGACAAAGAG
rnacentral:rRNA from 1 species